AACUAACGCUGGCGGCGCGUCUUAAACAUGCAAGUCAAACGGGUAGCAAUACCAGUGGCGAACGGGUGAGUAAUACAUGGAUAACCUACCUUUAAGUUGGGGAUAACACAGAGAAAUUUGUGCUAAUACCGAAUGUGACGGUUCAGCAAAGGCUGGAUUGGUUAAAGCAGCAAUGCGCUUAGAGAUGGGUCCAUGGCUGAUUAGCUAGUUGGUGGGGUAAAGGCCCACCAAGGCGACGAUCAGUAGCCGGCCUGAGAGGGUGAACGGCCACAAUGGAACUGAGACACGGUCCAUACUCCUACGGGAGGCAGCAGUUAAGAAUCUUGCUCAAUGGGCGAAAGCCUGAAGCAGCGACGCCGCGUGAACGAUGAAGGUCUUCGGAUUGUAAAGUUCAGUAAGUAGGGACGAAAAGAAUGACGGUACCUACCUAAAGCACCGGCUAACUACGUGCCAGCCGCCGCGGUAAAAC
rnacentral:rRNA from 1 species